CUGCGGCGCCGGAUACACCGGCGAGGAGACCGGGGUCACCGGAUCUGGUGGCCCGGGCCUACUCACUGGGAGAUCCGGCGGCUCGG
rnacentral:pre_miRNA from 1 species